UGCAAGUCGAGCGGAAACGAGUUAUCUGAACCUUCGGGGAACGAUAACGGCGUCGAGCGGCGGACGGGUGAGUAAUGCCUAGGAAAUUGCCUUGAUGUGGGGGAUAACCAUUGGAAACGAUGGCUAAUACCGCAUGAUGCCUACGGGCCAAAGAGGGGGACCUUCGGGCCUCUCGCGUCAAGAUAUGCCUAGGUGGGAUUAGCUAGUUGGUGAGGUAAUGGCUCACCAAGGCGACGAUCCCUAGCUGGUCUGAGAGGAUGAUCAGCCACACUGGAACUGAGACACGGUCCAGACUCCUACGGGAGGCAGCAGUGGGGAAUAUUGCACAAUGGGCGCAAGCCUGAUGCAGCCAUGCCGCGUGUAUGAAGAAGGCCUUCGGGUUGUAAAGUACUUUCAGCAGUGAGGAAGGGGGUGUCGUUAAUAGCGGCAUCUCUUGACGUUAGCUGCAGAAGAAGCACCGGCUAACUCCGUGCCAGCAGCCGCGGUAAUACGGAGGGUGCGAGCGUUAAUCGGAAUUACUGGGCGUAAAGCGCAUGCAGGUGGUUUGUUAAGUCAGAUGUGAAAGCCCGGGGCUCAACCUCGGAACUGCAUUUGAAACUGGCAAACUAGAGUACUGUAGAGGGGGGUAGAAUUUCAGGUGUAGCGGUGAAAUGCGUAGAGAUCUGAAGGAAUACCAGUGGCGAAGGCGGCCCCCUGGACAGAUACUGACACUCAGAUGCGAAAGCGUGGGGAGCAAACAGGAUUAGAUACCCUGGUAGUCCACGCCGUAAACGAUGUCUACUUGGAGGUUGUGGCCUUGAGCCGUGGCUUUCGGAGCUAACGCGUUAAGUAGACCGCCUGGGGAGUACGGUCGCAAGAUUAAAACUCAAAUGAAUUGACGGGGGCCCGCACAAGCGGUGGAGCAUGUGGUUUAAUUCGAUGCAACGCGAAGAACCUUACCUACUCUUGACAUCCAGAGAACUUUUCAGAGAUGRAUUGGUGCCUUCGGGAACUCUGAGACAGGUGCUGCAUGGCUGUCGUCAGCUCGUGUUGUGAAAUGUUGGGUUAAGUCCCGCAACGAGCGCAACCCUUAUCCUUGUUUGCCAGCGAGUAAUGUCGGGAACUCCAGGGAGACUGCCGGUGAUAAACCGGAGGAAGGUGGGGACGA
rnacentral:rRNA from 1 species